GUCCGUGUAAAAAUCCCAGGACGCGUUUCACUACGGCGUGUAGUUUCCUCAGCUGGGUAGAAGAAAUGAAUGUGUAUUCCUGGUUUGCCGGUCCACGUUUUAAUAGCUUCUUUAAUGAGGGAACAAAUGUCAGGUGUGCUCGUUACCUCUACGUAAUUACCACUAACGGGUAAAACGUAUGAGGUGCAAGCCUCGUAUAGCAGGCAUAG